UACGUAGGGUGCAAGCGUUGUCCGGAAUUAUUGGGCGUAAAGAGCUCGUAGGCGGUCUGUCGCGUCGGCUGUGAAAUCCCGGAGCUCAACUCCGGGUCUGCAGUCGAUACGGGCAAACUGGAGUACUGCAGGGGAGACUGGAAUUCCUGGUGUAGCGGUGAAAUGCGCAGAUAUCAGGACGAACACCGGUGGCGAAGGCGGGUCUCUGGGCAGUAACUGACGCUGAGGAGCGAAAGCGUGGGGAGCGAACAGG
rnacentral:rRNA from 1 species